AGGCAAAUCCGCUUUGAUAAUGCUGGGAUGUGAUGGGGAGCGAAAUUUAGUAGCGAAGUAGCUGAUUUCACACUGUCAAGAAAAGUCUCUAUCGAGGUUAAAGGUACCCGUACCGCAAACCGACACAGGUGGGUGAGGAGAGUAUCCUAAGGCCAGCGAGAGAACUGUUGUUAAGGAACUCGGCAAAAUGACCCCGUAACUUAGGGAUAAGGGGUGCCACCAUCAGGUGGCCGCAGAGAAUAGGCCCAAGCGACUGUUUACCAAAAACAUAGGUUUCUGCUAAGUCGCAAGACGAUGUAUAGGAGCUGACGCCUGCCCGGUGCUGGAAGGUUAAGGGGAUCUGUUAGAGCAAUCGAAGCAGUGAACUUAAGCCCCAGUAAACGGCGGCCGUAACUAUAACGGUCCUAAGGUAGCGAAAUUCCUUGUCGGGUAAGUUCCGACCCGCACGAAAGGCGUAACGAUUUGGGCACUGUCUCAACAACAGACUCGGUGAAAUUGUAAUUCCGGUGAAGAUGCCGGAUACCUGCGACAGGACGGAAAGACCCCAUGGAGCUUUACUGUAGCUUGACAUUGGGUCUUGGUACUACAUGUACAGGAUAGGUGGGAGGCUUUGAAACCAGGACGCCAGUUUUGGCGGAGCCAUCCUUGGGAUACCACCCUUGUAGUACUGGGACUCUAACCAUAGGCCAUGAAUCUGGUCUUGGGACACUGUCAGGUGGGCAGUUUGACUGGGGCGGUCGCCUCCCAAAAGGUAACGGAGGCGCUCAAAGGUUCUCUCAGUACGGUCGGAAAUCGUACGUAGAGUGUAAAGGCAAAAGAGAGCUUGAUUGCAAGACAUACAGGUCGAGCAAGGAUGAAAAUCGGACUUAGUGAUCCGGUGGUUCUGCGUGGAAGGGCCAUCGCUCAACGGAUAAAAGCUACCCUGGGGAUAACAGGCUUAUCUCCCCCAAGAGUCCACAUCGACGGGGAGGUUUGGCACCUCGAUGUCGGCUCAUCACAUCCUGGGGCUGUAGUAGGUCCCAAGGGUUGGGCUGUUCGCCCAUUAAAGUGGUACGCGAGCUGGGUUCAGAACGUCGUGAGACAGUUCGGUCCCUAUCCGUCGCAGGCGUAGGAAAUUUGAGAAGACCUGUCCUUAGUACGAGAGGACCGGGAUGGACGUACCUCUGGUGUACCAGUUGUCCUGCCAAGGGCAUGGCUGGGUAGCUAUGUACGGAAUGGAUAAGCGCUGAAAGCAUCUAAGCGCGAAGCCAACUUCAAGAUAAGAUUUCCCACCGCAAGGGUAAGACCCCAGAAAGACUAUCUGGUUGAUAGGUCGAAGGUGUAAGUGCAGCAAUGUAUUUAGCUUAUCGAUACUAAUAGGUCGAGGACUUGACCAA
rnacentral:rRNA from 1 species